rnacentral:lncRNA from 1 species
UCGAAAAAACAGAUGGUAAUUUGAUUUAAUGAAUGCAGUCUUAUGGUUGUCAAUUCUAAUUUUGAUCCUACCAAAUCCUUCUAUUGAGAUGUCAUUAGUAAUUGAAUUAUAGCAGAUUAUAUUAUCAAUAUGUUUUUUGCAAAAAAUAUUAUUUAACCAUACUUAUUUAAACAGGAUGUUUUUGGGAAGUGUUAGCAACUAUUGUUCAAACCAUGCACAAUGCCCAGUUGUAAUUAUUAAGAGAAGCUCUUGAGAAGCCAUUUUGAGUACGCAUCUUAUCACUCUCUCUCAAUGCUAGUUUAGCUGCAUAAAUUUUUUUCUGUUACACAAUUUUUUUAUUAUAGAAGGAUUUAGGCGAUUUAGUAUUCUUGGAAGUCACAUAAUUGUAACUUAGUACUGUAACUUGCUUCAUACACUUGGACACGUUCUAACAUUUACCGGAUACGUGUUUUUAAUUUUUUAAUGCUUUUUAUAGUUUUUAAAUUUUAGAUACGUAUACAUUAUAACAUGUAAAUAGAUAACAUUUUUUUACUUAAUAAAUACGUAUUGUUAUUAUCAAUAACUUAUUGAAAAUAAAUAAUAUAUAUUUGCAAUAAAUAACAAAGCUUUUUUAAUUAAUAUUUAUUAUUGACACCUACUCUUUUGUAUACUCAAUGAUAAGGAAUAAAGUGGCUCUACAAGAGUUGAAGAAUUGGCUUUCAUUCAUAGCUAUUGGCUUCUUUUAUCUAUAAAAUUAAAUCUUUAUUUAAAAGGAGAAUCCAAAAUGUGAGACAUUGUCAUAGACCUAUUUGAUACUCUUGCAUGUGUUGGGCUGAUUGCAGAUAAUAAUCUACAAUUAGAUGAGCCAUAGUUGAAGUGUAAGAAACUAGUUGUGAUGAUGUUGAUUGAAGAAAGUUUAAGAUACAAUUCUUUAGCACUUUAUUUUAUUUUUAUUGUUAGGCUUCUCUUUUAAUGUUAUUUUUUCAUAAUAACGAUGAAAUAAUACUGAAUUUUAUGAUUUAACUUAUUAAAAUACUACACACACACACAAUGUGUGUGUGUGUGUGUAUAGCAUCUGCGUGUCCUAAUUUUUCUUAAUAAGCUAUAAUGGUGUACCGCUAUCAUGGUAGGGUACUAUGAAAGGAAGUUGGCACAAAUAUGAGGGAUUUAAAUUCCUUAUUCCCUUGCACCUCGGCUUAUUUCUCUUUAAGGCUAUGAUUGGUAGUUGGUAGUGCCUGGAAAGGCCUUUUUAGCUUUCUUUUCAGAAGAGUGAGAAGGUUCAUCUUUCGAUGGGUGAUCCAAUGCCCCAACAACAAUCCCUUACCUGGCUCUACUGCCCCUCAUGCCACCUUAGCUGAAAUGCCCCCAACCCUUCCAGGCUCAAGAUUCAAAAAUACCAAUCCACUGCUGAACACCCUGACCCAUCCUUUUCAAUGGCAUGGCCAGCCAUCACUUCAUCUAGCUUUUGCAAAACAAUCCCCAUCCUUUCCCUAGUUUGCUUGCCUCCCAACUCUUGCCUAACCCUAUAGACUAACCCAAUUUUUUUAUCAGUCACUCCUCCCUUAGUUCUAGGCACACAACCCACCCAUAACACAACCCAACUCAGCAACUCUUCUAUCCUAUCGCUGAAAUGUGUUGAUGUUAAUAUAUUCUCUCAAUGUGCUUCAAAUUGGUUGACAGAUUUAGCGGUCCAAGUUGGGUUGAUUAAGUUCCUUUUUUGUGGGUUUCUAUAGUAUCAUUAACAUGGAUUUUCUGGUUUAAUUAUUGAUCUUUGCAUAUAGUUUGACUUUUCAUGAAGAAUGGGUUGAUAUUGGUACUUGAUGGGUUAACAUAUUUUUCAAGUAGUUCAUGUUCACUGUUAUAUCAUAUGUGUGUGCAAUUAACACAAGAUAGGGGUGACGAAAAUGUGGUGAUAAUGAGUAGUGGUGGUGAUUAUUCUUUCUUCAUGUUCAUAAUGAAAUAUGGGAAACAGAAUGGACUUACAAAACUCAUUCCAAGUAGAACUCUGUAUAGUUGGAACAGCUAUUUGGGCUAGGACACGUGGCCUAAAAUCUUCUUUUUUUCUCUUAUAUUCUAAUUUUCCCUAUUCCUUUUUAUACUUUCUUUCAUGUUAGAUGAAGAACACAUUUUUCUUGGUAUGAGUGUUAAAUCUAGAACUAAAAUUGGACUGGUGAUAGAAGUUGGAAAAGAGAUUAUGGAUAUAAAUUUAUGGCUUUUUUGGUGGAUAGUGUCAAGAAAAAGAAGCUAAAAUCUUGUUUAUACUGUUUAGUCUUGCCUAGUACUACAUACCAAAUAAGCAGGAUUUUCUAGAUUAUUUGAAGCAGAAUUAUAGGCUGCUAGGUCAACAUGUUUUAUGGUUUGGAGUGGGCGUCAUAAAAUUUUGAAGUUGAUGCACCUUGAAACACUGUACUAUACGGGAUGCUGAUGUCAAUAAUAAUCAUUGUGAUAUCCUAAUAAAAGACUGGAGAAGCUAACACUGCAGGGAAUGGAGUGCCAUGCUUCUCAUUCAACGGAGUGGAACGGCAGAGUCAUUCGUAAACAAUUAUACCCUUCAGUGCAUGUUUUCUUAGUUAUUAAUGUCCUCUAGUGCUCCACCCCCUCAUAAAAGCAGAAUGUGACGAACUGGUGAAAAUUUUAUCAAGUUAAAAAAAUAAAAAUAAAAACUAAUUGUGAAGAUAAAUUACACAUUAUAGUCUGUUAUUUAUGAAAAUUAUCUGUAAAAUUAUAAAAUUUCGAGCGGAUUACUUUGUUUAUGUUUUCUUGAAUGAACACUCAUUUCGUGCUUAAUCUCUUCUUGUACAUAGAUUUUGAGCGUGUGAUACUGAUGCAGUUCAUGGUGAAGACCAAAUCGAUCCUGUAAUUGUUGUAAUUGUAUUGUGGGUUUUCUGAAUUUCUGGGAUAUUAAGGUGUGUACAAAGUUCUGCUGCUCUUGUAAGUUAAAAUUUGUUGAUGUUGAAACUGAAUUUUGUUGAUUUGAUUACUUGUGAAAGUUGAUAUGGAUGGAUUCAAUCAUUCAAGUGUUACCGUAGUUAACUUUCAUGUUAGGUUUUAGUAAUUACUUUGCAGUUUAAAUCCUACCAUUACUAAGUGAGAUCACUGAAAUUGCGAUGCAACAUACUUUAUAGAUUAAAUCCAUUUUUUAUCAUUUAACUUUGAAUGAAAUCUCAAUUAGGUCACCCUACUAUAGUUUAUCAUAACCAAAUCAUUGAACUUAAAUUUACUUUCAAUUUUACUAAG